GGGGCAGUACCGGUUUCGACGGGGGUUUUGAAGAUGGAGAAGCUAUCCGCAGGCGAUGCGUUAACUCGCAAACCUAAAAUUAAACGCAGACGAAAACGUAGCGUUAGCAGCCUAAUUGCUGCUCGUCAGCCUUGAUGCACUCACACAUUGAGAAUCUGGCGUCGAUCUUGUGAGAAACGAUAUGGACAAAGCUUUGCGUUCAUAGGCGUAUCAUGAAGCUACUGAAACUGUCAGGAUGUCUGUUUCCGGGCGGCAGAGGGAAUGAAAAAUAACAGACUAUGAUAGUAGAAGUACAUGGGAGAGACUUUCGGACACGGGUUCAACUCCCGUCUGCUCCAGCG
rnacentral:tmRNA from 1 species